GAUGAACGCUGGCGGCGUGCUUAACACAUGCAAGUCGAACGAAGAAUGAUGAGCUUGCUCAACAUUCUUAGUGGCGGACGGGUGAGUAACGUGUGGGCAACCUGCCCUAUACUGGGGAAUAAUCACUGGAAACGGCGACUAAUACCGCAUGUCAUCGCGAGAGGGCUUCCUCUUCCGAGAAAAGGAAUUUAUUUCGGUAUAGGAUGGGCCCGCAUCUGAUUAGCUAGUUGGUGAGAUAACAGCCCACCAAGGCGACGAUCAGUAGCCGACCGGAGAGGGUGAUCGGCCACAUUGGGACUGAGACACGGCCCAAACUCCUACGGGAGGCAGCAGUGGGGAAUAUUGGACAAUGGGCGCAAGCCUGAUCCAGCCAUGCCGCGUGUGUGAAGAAGGCCUUAUGGUUGUAAAGCACUUUAAGCGAGGAGGAGGCUACUUUAGUUAAUACCUAGAGAUAGUGGACGUUACUCGCAGAAUAAGCACCGGCUAACUCUGUGCCAGCAGCCGCCGUAACAC
rnacentral:rRNA from 1 species